GUAACGGGCUUUCCUGAUCGUGUGCGGAAGUGAUGGAGGAUGCCGUUCCUCUGUGCAAAUCGAGCGCCGUCCUCCCACUUCUCUGGUGGCGGCGCUUCCUCCCUCGGUGCCUUCAACUUCCCCAUCGUAGCCCCCAUCGAGAUGCAUGCCAUUGUAUUGCAAUGCGAAUUACGUUGACACAACUGACAAAUGAAGGGGCAAAAGGCUCAAUAACAACAAAGAUGCAUUGAAAAUGUUGAGGAAAUAUUGCCGUGCAAAAUAUGCAGGAGAUACAAAUGGGCGUAGGAUAUUUCCUAGAUUCAUGUUGGUUCUUCCUUAAGGAGUCCCUUCUCUCGGAAGCUCUUGAUGCAGUCAUCAAACAUCUGUGGGAGAGUUUUGAAACAUGGAAGCCCGAGUUCCCUGAUCUUGGUAGUGUCCAUGCUGUGUGGAUUGCUGUCACCUUCCUGGUCAUUGCACCUGUCGGUUCCAAUUCGAUGUCAGUAAUAUUGACUCAGGAGGCAUCUCCUGAUAACUAAAACAAUCAGGGAACAACAAAAGAGUAUCACUUGGAUGCCAUCGGAUAAGAUGGG